AGUCCACUAUAUUUGGCAAUUUUGAUAAAGUAUUUAAUUAUCUCUCCUAUGUUAAUGUGUUUAUAAUUCUGUACCUCAAUCAUGUUUGCUUUUAAUCUCUUACUUUUAAAAUGAAUUAGUCAGUGAUAUUUAAUUAGAUUUAGUCAUGAAAGCAACUUUAACUUCUGAGUACUUUUCCAGUUGUGGUGUUUGGCCAACUAGUCUUCUUGAUAAUGUCAGAAUUGAAUGAAUUACUAUCUAAUGGACCCAUCAAGUUAAAAAUAUUAGGACUAGUAUGUAUCUUAGCAUGAAGCAAACUAUCACUUAUGUUUCUGUGUUAUCAGUCUUUUUCUUUCUGAAGAGUAAGUUUCCCCUGAAAAGUGUCUUACUUCUGCCUCUUUCUUAACAUUUUUCAUUAGACUUAAUUAAAGAAAAUGGUAACAAAAUUUGACUGUGUACUUGAUUUCCCAAAAGAUGAACUGUUUUGCUUUCCUUUUUAUUAAAAAAAAAAAAAAAACAAAAAACAAAACAAAACAAAAGCAAAACAAAGAAAACCAGAACAAAAGAGAAAAAAAAAAAACAACUUUAAUUUUGAAUGUCACAGACGUACCAGCCAGAAGCACAGUGCCAGCUUUUUAAUUCCCUAGUCUCUUAGCAGGGAGACCCAAAUGGAGGAGUUAGGGGAAGGACUAAAGGAGCUGAACUGGUUUUUAACUCCAUAGGAAGAACAACAAUAUCAACCAACCAGAGCUCCCAGGGACUAAACCACCAACCAAAGGGUACACGUGGAGGGACCCAUGGCUCCAGCCGCAUAUGUAGCAGAGGAUGGCCUUGUCUGGCACCAAUGGGAGGGGAGGCCCUUGGUCCUAUGGAGGCUUGAUGCCCAGAGUACAGGAAUGCUAGGGCAGUGGGGUGAUAUUGGGCAGGUGGGUGGGGGAGCACCUUUGUGGAGGCAGGGAGAGGUAGGUGGGAUGGGGUGAUUCUCAGAGAGGAAUCUCAGAAGAAGAAUAAUUGGAAAUGUAAAUAAACAAAAUAACC
rnacentral:lncRNA from 1 species